rnacentral:rRNA from 1 species
UGCCAGACUCCUACGGGAGGCAGCAGUGGGGAAUAUUGCACAAUGGGGGAAACCCUGAUGCAGCGACGCCGCGUGAAGGAAGAAGUAUUUCGGUAUGUAAACUUCUAUCAGCAGGGAAGAAAAUGACGGUACCUGACUAAGAAGCCCCGGCUAACUACGUGCCAGCAGCCGCGGUAAUACGUAGGGGGCAAGCGUUAUCCGGAUUUACUGGGUGUAAAGGGAGCGUAGGCGGCAGUGCAAGUCAGAAGUGAAAGCCCGGGGCUCAACUCCGGGACUGCUUUUGAAACUGUACAGCUUGAUUGCAGGAGAGGCAAGUGGAAUUCCUAGUGUAGCGGUGAAAUGCGUAGAUAUUAGGAAGAACACCAGUGGCGAAGGCGGCUUUCUGGACUGAAACUGACGCUGAGGCACGAAAGCGUGGGGAGCGAACAGGAUUAGAUACCCCGGUAA